AUGCAGGACACAAAUUGUGUCGUACUUUCUGGAAGACAUGCGGGCACCAGCUAUUACUCUGGAACAUUCGAUAACUCAUCUAUAAAAGCCGACGCGCUUAACCGGCAGAUUAGAUUUUCGACGAUCGCCGACUGUGUUCGCCGCUAUCGUUGUGC
rnacentral:lncRNA from 1 species